UACGUAGGGUGCAAGCGUUAAUCGGAAUUACUGGGCGUAAAGCAUGCGCAGGCGGUUGUGCAAGACAGAGGUGAAAUCCCCGGGCUUAACCUGGGAAUGGCCUUUGUGACUGCACGGCUAGAGUGUGUCAGAGGGGGGUAGAAUUCCACGUGUAGCAGUGAAAUGCGUAGAGAUGUGGAGGAAUACCGAUGGCGAAGGCAGCCCCCUGGGAUAACACUGACGCUCAUGCACGAAAGCGUGGGGAGCAAACAGG
rnacentral:rRNA from 1 species